UACGUAGGGGGCAAGCGUUGUCCGGAAUCAUUGGGCGUAAAGAGCGUGUAGGCGGCCCGGUAAGUCCGCUGUGAAAGUCCAGGGCUCAACCCUGGAAUGCCGGUGGAUACUGUCGGGCUCGAGUCCGGAAGAGGCGAGUGGAAUUCCUGGUGUAGCGGUGAAAUGCGCAGAUAUCAGGAGGAACACCGAUAGCGAAGGCAGCUCGCUGGGACGGUACUGACGCUGAGACGCGAAAGCGUGGGGAGCAAACAGG
rnacentral:rRNA from 1 species